rnacentral:rRNA from 1 species
UACGUAGGGUGCGAGCGUUAAUCGGAAUUACUGGGCGUAAAGCGUGCGCAGGCGGUCUGUUAAGACCGAUGUGAAAUCCCCGGGCUUAACCUGGGAACUGCAUCGGUGACUGGCAGGCUUUGAGUGUGGCAGAGGGAGGUAGAAUUCCACGUGUAGCAGUGAAAUGCGUAGAGAUGUGGAGGAAUACCGAUGGCGAAGGCAGCCUCCUGGGCCAACACUGACGCUCAUGCGCGAAAGCGUGGGGAGCAAACAGG